rnacentral:lncRNA from 1 species
GCUCUGGGAUGUUGAAGAGAGAUUUUAAAAAGGAGAUGGAAGGCUGUGAAAACAUAGUUCAAAUUGGAGGGAGCUUGGGCAGAUACCACCUUUUCUUUUAAGGAAUGAAUUUGACUUUUGCUGAUGGAGCCUCUCUGAAGGGCAAAUUCAAAGUACAGCUGGGUGCUGCAGCACUGGAGUGCGAACUUGUGGCUGUGGUUAUGAAGGAGCCUCGUCAGCUAUGCCUUUAGCCCCUGGUGAAGCAGUGCCAGUCACACUUUGCCAGUCAAACGGAGAGGCAGCAGUAGUAAGACCAGACCAAAUCAAACCAAACCAAGCAAACCACGGGGAAUGGAGGUCAUGUGAGCACACAGCAUAAAGGCAGCUGCCCACAAGCCAGGAAGAGAAGCAUCAUCAGAAACCGACCAUACUGGCUUCCUGAUCUCAGACUUUCAGCCUCCAGAAUGAUUAUUGCCUGCUCCUCCAAGCCCUUCACUGUAGAAUGGAAGCCUGUGAUUUUCCUGGCAUCAUGCAUGACUGAGAAGGUCAGUGUGGCUAAUUCUGAGCUUCAACAUCAGGAAACCCGUAGUUCUUCACACUGAGCCGCCUCCUGCAGCACAGUCAUCCUUGGCUUAACACCACAUGGAAGCCACCAAGACUUAUGACUUGCAUCCUCCUGAAGAGUGGCUCAAACUGUACCUGAGGCCCUUUGAGCUGCAGCUGGAGCCAGGAGCUGGGACGCAGAGAGGAGUGUCCUGAGGCUGCAAGGGCAGCAGAGCCCUGGGUGUGGCCCCCAAAACCAUUCUUUCCCCUAGGCCUCUGGACCUGCAAUGGGAGGAAAUGCCUAAAAGAUCUCUGAAAUGCCUUUGAGGCCUUUUCCCAUUGUCUUGGAUAUUAACACUUGGCUCCCUUUUAGUCAUGCUAAUCUCUCUAGCAAGUGGUUGCUCUGCAGCCUUUCUGGAUUCUUUCUCCAACAAAAUGCCAGACUGCGUGCAAAUUUUCUAAACUUUUACUCCCUGCUUCCCUUUUAAAUAUAAGUUCCAACUUUAAGUCUUGUUUUUGCUCCUGCAUCUAAGCAUAGGUAGUUAGAAGCAGCCAUGCCACAUCUUGAUUGCUUUGCUUCUUAUAAAUUUCUUCUGCCAGAUACCCUAAGUCAUCACUCUUAAGUUCAAAACUUCCACAUAUCCUUAGGAUGAGAAAAUGAUGCAGCCAAGUUCUUUGUUGAGGCAUAACACAGGUAACCUUUACUCCAGUUUACACUAUAUUCCUCAUUUCCAUCUGAGAUCUCGUCAGCCUGGAUUUCACUGUUCAUAUUUCUAUCAGCAUUUUGGUCACAACCAUUUAGAAAGUCUCUAAGAAGUUCCAAACUUUGCCCCAUCUUCCUGUCCUUCUGAGCUCCCCAAACUUUUCCAACUUCAGCCUGUUACCAAGUUCCAAAGUUGCUUCCACAUUUUUAAGUAUCCUUAUAGCAAUGUCCCACUCCUCAGUACCAGUUUUGUGUGUUAGUCCAUUCUUGUAUUGCUAUAAAAGAAUAUCUGAGACUGGGUAAUUUAUAAUGAAAAGUGAUUUAUUUUGGCUCAUGGUUCCACAGACUGUACAUGAAGUGUGGUGCCAAUAUCUCCUUCUGGUGAAGACUCAGGAAGCUUACAAUGAUGGUGUAAGGUUGAAGUGGGAGAAGGCAUAUCACAUGGCAAGAGUGGGAGCAAGAGAGAGAGAGGAGGCGGGUGCCAGGCUCUUUUAAACAACCAGGUCUCAUGUGAACUAAUUGAAUGAGAACUAACUCAUUACCAUGAGGACAGGCCAAAGACAUUCAUGAGGGACUUGCUCCCAUGAUCCAAACACCUCCCACUUGGCCCAUCACCAACAUUGGAGGUAACAUUUCAACUUGAGAGUUGGAAGGGACACACAUCCUUCCAUAUCAGGUCCUAAUUUUUCACCCCUCUCAUGUGACUUUACAGUUCCUCCCAUUUAAAAGGGAAGAGUAUUAUUUCUCCAACCCUUGACUGGAUUCAGUCUUAUAACUAUUUUUGGCCAAUAGAGUGAGGCAGAAAUGACAGUGUACCAGUUCUGAAACUGUGCCGGCAGAGCCUUUGAAUGUUUUUUUUGUCUCUCACACCUCUGCCAUCAUCAUGAGAAGAAUAUGGCUUUGCUAGCUCCAAAUCUGGGCUCGACAUUCUUCUGCUCCAAAGAAGAUGAGAGAGCCAUGUGGAGCAGAGCCUCUCCAGAUGAGGCCAGCCUAGGUCAAUGAAACUCCAGCCAACACACUGACACUCAACAAAUGCUUUCUGGUGCAUGCUGCUGAGAUUUUAUAAUUGCCUGUUAUACAACAUUGUAGCAUUAGUUGGCUGAUGCAAAUAUAUUAUUAGCUAAUUAUAUUGAUUGAAUUUCUGGUAUUAAACUAUUUUACAUUUCUGAAACAGAAUUGUUUAUUAUUAUUUCAACACAGGACUGAAUUCAGUCUGCUUAAUUGUUCAUUUAGAACUUUCUGUUUGCAUUCAAUGGUCAUCUUAGUCUAUUUUAUCUUUCUCAGGUUGGAGCAUUAAAGUUAUGUUAUCAUCAUAAAACGUACUGGGAUAUUCCCCUAACUUCAACCUCAACAUACAGCAGUAUACAAAUGCUGAUUCCUAGAAAAGUUCUCAUGAUUCCCUGGUAUAAUGAAAAAAAAAAAUAAGGAAGAUGCAAUGGGUUUUAUAACGUCAUUUGAUUUAAAGAAUAGUCCUUAAUUCUGAUCUUAUGCACUUCCCAUAUUCUCAAUGUUAGAUUAUUUAUUCUUUUGCAAAAUGAUUCUGCUGAUAAAUGGUAAUAAAAAAGAAUGUUUCUACUACAAAAAUUAAAACCUGGCAAUCCCAUGUUGGUCUCUCCAACUUUUCCCCUUAGCUCUCAUAGUUUUUGAAAUCCAAAGUUUGAAACCGUUUGUCUAGAACAAUUUAAAGAGCAUGUAAUUAAAUAUAAAAUAAUUUGUGCCUUGAGAAUUGGAGCUAUUCUGAAGCAGUAUGAAAGAGUGGUAGAGAAUAGGAACUUUGAACCGUGUGGCCUCUAGCAGUCACUUAACCAUUCCAAGAAUCAUUUUACUCCCUUGUAGAACAGGGCUAAUAAGUAGGUACCUUUUAGGUCUAUUAUAAGGUCAUAUGUUAUAAGAUACUUAGCAUAAUAUUGUACAUAUAGUAAGUACCUGAUAUGGCUUGGCUCUGUCUCCACCCAAAUCUCAACUUGAAUUGUAUCUCCCAGAAUUUCCAUGUGUUGUGGGAGGGACCUGGGGGAGGUAAUUGAAUCACGGGGACCGGUCUUUCCCGUGUUAUUCUCGAGACAGUGAAUAAGUCUCACGAGAUCUGAUGGGUUUAUCAGGGGUUUCCACUUUUGCUUCUUCCUCAUUUUCUCUUGCUGCUGCCAUGUAAGAAGUGCCUUUCACCUCCCAAUAUGAUUCUGAGGCCUCCCAGGCCAUGUGGAACUGCAGGUCCAAUUAAACCUCUUUUUCUUCCCAGUCUCGGGUGUGUCUUUAUCAGCAGCAUGAAAACAGACUAAUACAGUACUCAAUAAAUAUUAGCUAUUUUCAUUACUAGUAUUUUGAUAUUUUUCUCUGAAUAUAUUUUGUUCUUAAAAUGUUUUCUGUUCUUGAUUUAAUUUUUAAAACUUUUUGAAUUGAAGUAUAACAUAUAUAUUUAAAAAUGCAGAAAUCAAAGUGUAUUACUUAAUAUUUAAAACAAAUCAAACAUAUCCAUGUAACGACCUAGGUCAAGAAAUAGAAUAUUACCAGCAUCUCAAGAAUCUCCCAUACAGACACAUACAAGCACCCUACCAAUGAAAAGUAUCCAUUAUAUAUAAUUCUCCUCAAAGGUAUCCUUAUUUCUAACACCAUAGAUUAUUUUUCUGUUUUUGAAAUUUUUAUAAAUAGAAGUAUACAAUAUAUAAUAUGUAAUUUUUUUUGGUCUGGAAUCCAUUGCCUGAAAUCGUAUUUUUAAGAGUCAAGUGUGUUGGUGUGACAUGUUUGGCUCUGUGUACCCACCCAAAUCUCAUCUCAAACUGUAAUCCCCAUGUGUCGAGGGAGGGACCUUUAAUCUCCACAUGUCGAGGCAGGGAGGUGAUUGGAUCAAUGGGGGUGGUUUUCCCCAUUCUGUUCUCGUGAUAGUGAAUAAGUUCUCAUGAGAUCUGACGGUUUUAUAAGUGUUUGGAAGUUUCUCCCUCACUCUUUUUUCUCUCCUGAUGCCUUGUGAAGAAGGUGCCUGCUUCCUCUUCACCUCCCACCAUGAUUGUAAGUUUCCUGAGUCCUCCCCAGCCAUGUGGAGCUGUGAGUCAAUUAAACCUCUUUCCUUUAUAAUUUUCCCAGUCUUGGGUGUUUCUUUAAAGCACAGUGAAAAUGAACUAAUACAGUGCAUGCAGCUACAGAUUUUUCAUAUUAAUGUAUAGUAUCCAAUUGUGUGAUUAGAACACAAUUUAUUUAUUCAUGCUAAUAUUGAUGGAUUGUUUCCAAUUUCAUGAUAUAUCAUCAAAAUAUAAUCACAUUAUUGGUCUUUUUAAGAACCAACUUUUGGAUUUGUUAAUAUACUACUGGCUUUAUGCUAGCUAAUUAAGAUCUGCUUUUAUCUUUAUUAACUCAUUUGUCCUUCUUCCUGGCAGUUUUCUUUCCUAAGUUUAAGUUGAACACUUAGUUUAUUUAGCUUAAUUUGGUGAAGAUGCGUUUGCUUGUCCCAGAUUUUUCAUGAGAUGAGAUUUUUCAUGAGAUGAAGUCUCUUUUUCAUGAGAUGAAGUCUAAAUGCGUUAGGAGGCAAAACUUGGGUGUAUUUUUCUGAACACAAUUAAAUCGCUUUUAAAUGUUA